AAACUUUCAACAACGGAUCUCUUGGCUCUGGCAUCGAUGAAGAACGCAGCGAAAUGCGAUAAGUAACGUGAAUUGCAGAAUCCAGUGAAUCAUCGAAUCUUUGAACGCACAUUGCGCCCGCCAGCAUUCUGGCGGGCAUGCCUGUUCGAGCGUCACU
rnacentral:rRNA from 1 species